AGCCCCGUGGUGUAGUGGUAGCAUAAGGGACUCUGGAUCCCUUGACGGCAGUUCGAACCUGCCCGGGGCUA
rnacentral:tRNA from 1 species